AGGUAUUCUGUUAUUGUUCAACAGUGCAAUUAAACCUGUGAUUAGUAGUGAUUAACUUUUUUAAUCAUUUGACAGACCUAAUUAUGACUCUUUCAGCUUUACAAUUGGUAUCUCACAUUUAAAAUCUGGAAUUGAAAUCAAGGUCAUUUAACAAUAAAAUAUUUGACAUCAGGCAGGUGUGUUGGUAAAAUAGUAAAGGGAAGGAACUGAGUAUGCAAAGAGGGGGGCCCCAAAACUAUAACAACUCAUCAAACUUAAUCCAGCCCUGCUGAACAUGGCAAUGGUGAAAGCAGUAGUCUAGCCUGGACGCCAAAGAUUUUUUUUUUUUAAUAACCUAUUCAGAAGAGUGUCUUCAGUAUAGUCGCCUUUGCUGAUAACACCAGUGGUAAACAUUUUAGAUCUUAAAUUUGCUGGUGCAAAUGAGACCUAACACAGCGAGGACCCAAAUCUCAAUGUAACCCAUUUUGACAACUUUCCAGUUAUAACACCAAUCCCUUGUUGUGGUCAUUGUUGAAGUUAGCAUUAUUUGCUCUAAUCUGGAUAGCGACUUUAUAAAAACGCUUCAGUACAUCACUGUCUGUAUUUCAGUGAAGCAAAGACAACCCUUUUUGCAUUUUAUUAGGUCUUUAUUUAUUUUAAAGUGGGCUCCUUCGUAUUAUAAUACACAAAUUAAACCCUUAAAUAUUACUGGUAUAACUUUUAUUGUGAUAGUCUUUUACAAUUUCAAAUAUCUCUUAGCACUAAUUAAGUUGUGCAAUUUGUAAUUAUAGGAACCCCGCACAUACAAUGAGUGUGUCACGCUGUAGUACGCACAUAAUUCACGUCUGAACAGGGUGAGGCAGCAUGGAGAGUACAGUAUAGCUUUUUUGACUGCCUUAUUUUUCAUUUACACCUUCAGAAAAAUCUAAGUUUAAAGAUUACGUCAAUUGAUAGGUCUCAUACUUUAAAGGGAAAUUUUCUAUAUUAAAAAUUGUAUUACAAGUAAGUGCUAAUGAUCUGAACCCCAGUUAGGAUUAUCUGAAAUUCAGGAAUGUCCAUUUCCCCCCCCUCCCACCUCCUCCAAAGUCAAAUUUUUCUUUUCUAAAAUAUCAAUUUUCCAAAUUUUACAUGUCUCCAGAGCUGUCAGAAUAGAUGGCUUGUAUUUGUUACCUUUUAUCUUAAUUCCUUAUGUCUUAACACAAGACUAAAAAUGUUAAGUAAAUUGAUGUCAUUAUGCUGUGUGUUACUUUGGGCAUAUGACUCUCUCUUUUGGGGGAUGAAAAUAGACUAGUCAGUUGUAACCUCUUCAGUCAUUCUCACUUUGGUCUUGUCCACACUUGGCAAAGCCAGUUCACACGUCCGAGAUGAGUUAUCUGCAGAAAUGCACAGGCUCUUAAUGUGUAGACAAGGGCAUGCAGGAUCUUCUACCAAUUGAAUUAGUCCCAUUUACUUCAGGAACACUGCUGAAUUAGGGUUAUUCCGACAUGUAGACAUGUCUCCAUUUCCAUGGACUGUCGCAGGUUCUGUUUGUAGUAGGUGGUGAUGGUUACGCAUUGUUCUGUGCCAAUCCUUGUGGUGUCUGAAUGCCAUUGCGUAAACUUGAAAAAACUCCAGUUCCUUCUAGGGAAAGGAAUAAAACUCCUCCUCUCCCCACAGGCUAAAGCCAGUUAUUUCAGAAGUUUCGCAUUUCAGUAGUUUAUUUCCUAGAACAUGCAGCUAGACCUAUUUCACAACUUGUUUCUAGGCGAAGGCAGAUGAGCCAGUCCUUGUACCACACCUUAAGGAUGACAUGACUCAGGCUCAGACUAUCCCCAUCUGUGACAAAUUCCAUAAAGUGUGCAUGUGACCUUCCUGCAGUUCUGUGCCUGAGAGAUGGCUUCCUGUUUGGGCACAAGCCAGGAAACACAGCUAGCAUCAAUGAAGUGGUGACACGGAAUCUACCCAAAUUGCUGAUAAAUGCACCAAGUAAACAAACUGGUAAAAAAUUUAAGGCAAAAUACACCUUUUCUAUAAUCAGAUUCCAUUGUAAUAAUUGUAUAGGGUUACUAGUAGCAAUAGUAGAUACAACAUACUUGGGGAAACAUAACUUACAGGUUGGUAAUCUCCCCUUUUAAUCAGCGCUAUUUAGAGGAUGCGUAUGCCUUGACUUGCUGCUCUACAGAUCACUGGUUUUCCUGACUGGUUUCAUUGACUUCUUUUAAUUUAAUAAAAAUCUUCUUUGUCAGUUUUGUGGGUUUAAAAAAAAAACACAACUUUUUUGCAGUCUAAUUUAGGGUCUGUGCUCCUUGGCACUGUCCCUUUCAACAAGAUAGAAUUUCAAAGUAGAGCUCAUUGUCAUACAUUCAUUUGGCAACGUUGUCUAACCAGUAGGCUAUAAAUGCAGUAAACACUUUGCAGCCUUUACCCUUCUAUUUAAAUCUUUAUUCUGUUUUCUCAGGUACUACAGAGGCGGGUGUGAGAAACAAAAUCUUCACAGAUGGAUGGGUCUAUCAAUGCAGGCUACUGGGCAAUCUUUUCCUGGAGCUGCCAAAAGACUGAGGUGCAAAAUUAAGUCAAGGCUUUAAACUGUAAUUCCAUGUUGAGUGACUGUAUCUAGUGUAAAAUGUGGCUACUAUGGUGAUGGGGCUAUAGAAAUACCUCAAUGGAUGAGUGGUCUAAAGAUGAGAACCAUGAAGGAAAGUAAGAGGUACAUGGCAUAAGAUGUUGCCUCAUCAAAAUUUCACUUUGUUACACAUUCUCACUCUAGACAAGGAAAGGGGGCAUUGUUUAAUAGUAAGCAUGCUAGUCUUUGAGCUCAGUACGGUAUCCUGUUGCUGAAGGUCCCAAUAUACCAUCCUUCAACCUCUCCGGGCUGUUUAUGCAUUUGUAAAAUGGUGGUAAUAAGGAGUGCUAAGAAUAAUUGGUGGUUAAGUGGUUUGAGCUCCUCUGAUGUAUUUGCAUUGGGAAUUUUUUUUAUCCUUAUGUGGUUCCAAAUAUUGUGGAAUCCUGUGUGUUAAACUGCAGCUGAGGAAGUAAUGCUGUACUCCAUGAGUCUGAGUUGUCCUUAGCCUUUAACAGAUCUGCAGGAGGAAAGAUUAAAGUAAAGCAGAACUACUGACUGGCUGCUCUAAGCAAGUAUACUCUUACUUCAUAAGAAACGUUGUUCCUUUCCAAGUUCCUUGCUCAAGUUCAGUUCAUUUGAAGAACCAGAGGUUGGAGUCGUAGUGAUUGCGUUUUGGGGUUUUCUGUUUUUUUUUAAAUCCAUGAUUACUCCAGAAAAUUGUGCCAUGUUAAUCCAUGUUAAUAACUGGGCAAUCCAAACUGGAUGGAUGAGCCAUCACAAAUGCAGACGUGUUAGUGUGUUGUCCUAAAUGGUCUGAUAUCUUUCAUUUUAGAUUGAAUUAGUCUUGCUGUGGUGAUUCUGAUUCAUGAUCAAUUUUGGUAUGUUUAGAGGCAAACAAGUGUAUUAAAAAUAAGUGUCCAAGACAAUUGCACUGCAUCAUAGGUUUAAGGAGGUUUUCACAUGGAGUGCGGAAGAAUUCCGGAGUCUACAGAAAUUCUCCAGUAUGUCAUAGGGAAACUUAUACUGGACUUGUUCUGCUUGAUCUAAAAAUCUGUUUUUGCCAUAGAGAACUAAACUGAUCCACUCUGACCUGACUUUUAGCUGAUAACAGUUAGGCUGUGAAUGCUGAGUUGACGGGGGAGCUAGCACAGAAAGAGUGUUCUGAGUAAGGAAAACAUUUUAAAGUAGAAAACGGAUCAAGCUGAGAAAGAGUUAAGGGACAAAAAGAAUGAGUGGUAGAUUUCCUGAACAAGGGAAGAAAUUCAAGUAAGACCAAUCUAAUUUUCCUUCGGAGCAGGAACCGGCUUCUCAUUGUGUGUACAGUGCCUAGCACAAAUAGCCCUGAUGUCCGAUAUGGGCCUCUAGGCCAGUGUUUUUCAAAGUUCAGAUCGCGACCCAGUACUGGAUUGCAGCAUAUAAGGUACUGGGUCACCUUGCUUGGCACCCAGGGACCCUAGUGGCUCUGGUCAGCACCACCGACCAGGAUGUUGGAAGUCCCAUCAGUGGUGCUGCCCAGCUAAGGCAGGCUAGUGCCUACCUGCUCUGACACCGCGCUGCGCCCCAGAAGCAGCCAGCAGCAGGUCCGGCUUCUAGGCAGGGGGGGGUCACAGGGCUCUGCGUGCUGCUCAAGCACCAGCUCCACACUCUCAUUGGUGGGUUCCCUGUUGGUGAGAGCCGCUUGCACACCUCCGUCUAGGAGACAGACCUGUUGCUGUCUCUUUCCGAGACGCAGCACUGUCUGUGGCGCCAGGACAGGCAGGAAGCCUGCCUUAGCAUCCUGCUGUGACGCUGACUGGGAGCCACGGGAGGUAGGUCCACGCCCCAACCCCGUGCCCCAGCCCUAAGCCCCCUCCAAACUUGGAGCCCUCCUGCACCACAAAUCCCCCAUCCUUGGCCCCACCGCAG